GGUAAGGUUAUACUUACUAUGACAUAAGCUUCAUACAGCUGUUCUGUUGGGGCGAUAGCCUUCAUUACAGUAACGGAGGCAAACAAAGGCAUACUAAGAGUGAACUAUGAAGCUAUGCUUAACUGUGAGAGACACUACUCAAGCAGAUGUUGUAGGUUAUAACGACUUACAAGCAGGUAGUAACGAACGGGUCCUUCAUAUUAACGAGGGACCUAUCAACGGACAAAAGAUACGCCAGGGAUAACAGGCUUAUGCGAGUAGAGAGUUCAUAUCGACACUCGCGUUUGGCACCUCGAUGUUGAAUCAUCGUGUCCUUAUGCUGUACAAGGUAUAAAGGGUUAGGGUGUUCACCUAGUAAUACGGUACGUGAUUUGAGUUUGCUACGCAUUGUAGACUCAGUAUACCCAUACGGUAUAUUACCAAUAAGGCCAUAUUCAAGAAGCGUAUACCCAGCCCAGAUGACUUAUUAGUCACACUGGCGUCGCAUAUACUAACUUGAAGCUGUGAUGCCUACGUAUAUAUGAUACCGUAGCUUAUCUGAUACCGUAGCUUAUCUGAUACCGUAGCUUAUCUGAUACCCGGAGGGCGACGCCUACGUUUAUAUAGUACCCGGAGGGUCGGGUACUUCCUUUCUUAGGGUGGGCUAGCCUGCGCAUAUAAGAUACUUACGUGUGUCAUAAAUACGGGAUAGGUAUGUAGGCACAGCACAACGACUAGGAUAACCUUACUAUACUAUACGCGACGCCUGCUUUGCAGGCGAGCCCCCCGGGUUACCAUACGUUGGCUAUAUGUUAGCGAUACGCGACGCCUGCUUUGCAGGCGAGCCCCCCCGGGUUACUAUACGUUGGCUAUAUGUUAGCUAUACGUUACUAUACGUUGGCUAUAUGUUAGCGAUACGUGACGCCUGGCGGGGUCCCAUUUACUACCCGGAGGGCUAGGCCGCUGCGCGGCCGUCGCGUAAAUGGGACGCCCCGGCCCCACGCUUUCGAGCGUGGCUCAAAAGCGAGGGGCUAGGCCGCUCUGCGGCCGUCGCGCUUCGCGGGAGGGGCAGGCCCCCUUUCAAGCGCUUACAAGCGCUUGAAAGGAUGGGCCCAGCCCUUAGUUAAACCCCGACCCCUCGAAGAGGCGACGCCAGCUACGCUGGCUAGCCCUACGGGGGGAGGGUUUAACGACAAAGCAGGCGAGCCCCCCGGGUUACUAUACGUCGCGUGGUAUACACAAGAGUAAGGCAUAGUAUAUGCAUAGUACAUGUACAGUUAAUACGUAUAGUAAACGCAUAGUAAAUACGUAUAGUAUAGAAGGCAUAGUCUGAGCUUAGGCUUAAAGUAAGAGCCUAAGGUAACAAAGCAGUACAACGUGGUAACACAGUUGGGUUUCUAUCUACCUACGCAUUACCCCAUACGUAAAGAGGCAUUAGUACGAAAGGACCCAUGCCUCGAUACCUCUGGUUUAGCUAUUGUCCAUGAUAAGGCAUAGUAGCGAAGCUAAGUAUCUACCAUACUUAUACAAGACGUGGAGGGUAUAUAUGUAACAUAUGGAUUAGCGUAUUGUGUAACAGUAUAUACGCCUAAAGUACCCAUAAUAACAAUACCUAGGGA
rnacentral:rRNA from 1 species